CAUGUACCCCAGUACCCCAGUACACAAGGAAUUUGUUGAAAAGGGAUAGGAAACCAAAAGUGAAAGGAUAUGGAAAGACAAAAUAUAGGUAAGUAAGUCAAAAAAAAAAC
ensembl:ncRNA C44H4.12 ncRNA